AUUGAACGCUGGCGGCAGGCUUAACACAUGCAAGUCGAGCGGAGAUGAGGUGCCUGCACCUUAUCUUAGCGGCGGACGGGUGAGUAAUGCUUAGGAAUCUGCCUAUUAGUGGGGGACAACAUUCCGAAAGGAAUGCUAAUACCGCAUACGUCCUACGGGAGAAAGCAGGGGAUCUUCGGACCUUGCGCUAAUAGAUGAGCCUAAGUCGGAUUAGCUAGUUGGUGGGGUAAAGGCCUACCAAGGCGACGAUCUGUAGUGGGUCUGAGAGGAUGAUCCGCCACACUGGGACUGAGACACGGCCCAGACUCCUACGGGAGGCAGCAGUGGGGAAUAUUGGACAAUGGGGGGAACCCUGAUCCAGCCAUGCCGCGUGUGUGAAGAAGGCCUUAUGGUUGUAAAGCACUUUAAGCGAGGAGGAGGCUACCGAGACUAAUACUCUUGGAUAGUGGACGUUACUCGCAGAAUAAGCACCGGCUAACUCUGUGCCAGCAGCCGCCGUAAAAC
rnacentral:rRNA from 1 species